GAACUAUGAUAGAAUCUAUCUCCCCCACCAUCUCUCUGUCUGUCUCUCUCUCUCUCUCUCUAUCUAUCUAUCCAUAAUGGAGAGAGAGAGAGACAGAGAGAUGGUGGGAUAGAUAGAGAGAGAGAGAGAGAG
rnacentral:miRNA from 1 species